rnacentral:tRNA from 1 species
GGGCCCAGAGCACCGGGCCGUAGUGCGGGUCUUUGCCGGCGGCCCGGGCGGCGUCGACCCGGCGUUCGAGCCGCCGUGCGCUCC